UUAUUAGCCAGAAUUCAACAACCUUUUUCAUAUUAAAUCACCUUGUUGCUUUAGAGCGCCCAUGACAAGGCAAUUGGUUCAGUGCUACCUAAAUUGAAUAAUAUUUUGUAGCUACGACUGGUGAUGCUACAUUUUAGGAUUAAAUGUAACGUAACUUAAUUCAAAUCUAGAUAUUUCACCAUCUAUUCCAUCUGAACCAGAGAAAGUGAGUAAAGACGUUAUAUAUGGGACAGUCAUCGGAAUUCUCGUCCUGCUGUUCUCUUUAUUCAUCAUAUACAUAACAGUAAAGCGCCGGAAAGGUCGAGGAGAUAAUCGGCUAGAAGUAAUUGCUGUGGAAGGAAGGGGACCUCAAAUA